rnacentral:rRNA from 1 species
GACGAACGCUGGCGGCGUGCUUAACACAUGCAAGUCGAACGGACAGGCCCUGCUUUUGUGGGGUGCUCGAGUGGCGAACGGGUGAGUAACACGUGAGUAACCUGCCCUUGACUUUGGGAUAACUUCAGGAAACUGGGGCUAAUACCGGAUAUGAGCUCCUGCUGCAUGGUGGGGGUUGGAAAGUUUCGGCGGUUGUGGAUGGACUCGCGGCUUAUUAGCUUGUUGGUGGGGUAGUGGCUUACCAAGGCUUUGACGGGUAGCCGGCCUGAGAGGGUGACCGGCCACAUUGGGACUGAGAUACGGCCCAGACGCCUACGGGAGGCAGCAGUGGGGAAUAUUGCACAAUGGGCGGAAGCCUGAUGCAGCAACGCCGCGUGCGGGAUGACGGCCUUCGGGUUGUAAACCGCUUUCGAAUGUGACGAAGCGUGAGUGACGGUAAUGGGUAAAGAAGCAACGGCUAACUACGUG